rnacentral:tRNA from 1 species
GGUGGGGUGGUGCAGUGGGUAGCACUGUUCCCUCACAGAAAGAAGGUCCUUGGUUUGAAUCCUGGCCUUUCUG